rnacentral:rRNA from 1 species
UACGUAGGUGGCAAGCGUUGUUCGGAAUUACUGGGCGUAAAGCGCGCGUAGGCGGCUCUUCAAGUCAGGCGUGAAAGCCCCGGGCUUAACUCGGGAACUGCGCUUGAUACUGUCGAGCUAGAGUGUGGAAGGGGCGAUUGGAAUUCCGUGUGUAGCGGUGAAAUGCGUAGAUAUACGGAGGAACACCAGUGGCGAAGGCGGCUCACUGGCCCGGUACUGACGCUGAGGUGCGAAAGCGUGGGAGCAAACAGG